GAUGAACGCUGACAGAAUGCUUAACACAUGCAAGUCUUUGGCGAAGCUGUGCUUGCACAGCCUAGCCAAGGCGGACGGGUGAGUAACGCGUAAGGAACUUGCCCUGCAGUCAGGGAUAACAGACGGAAACGACUGAUAAGACCUGGUAAAGUCAGGCGGACUCAUGUCCAGCCUGAUGAAAAGAGAUGCUGCAGGAGAGCCUUGCGUCCUAUUAGCUUGUUGGUGGGGUAACGGCCCACCAAGGCGAUGAUAGGUAGCCGGCCUGAGAGGGUGGACGGCCACAAGGGGACUGAGAUACGGCCCUUACUCCUACAGGAGGCAGCAGUGGGGAAUAUUGGACAAUGGGGGCAACCCUGAUCCAGCAAUUCUGUGUGCACGAUGAAGGUUUUCGGAUUGUAAAGUGCUUUCAGCAGGGAAGAAAAAAAUGACGGUACCUGCAGAAGAAGCGACGGCUAAAUACGUG
rnacentral:rRNA from 1 species